UUUUAUUUUGAAAACCUCCUGCCGGCAGCUCUCCUUGUAGAUGCAGUGGACUUGAAGUGAAGGCGUUUACAGAGGGCGGCGGAUUUAUGCGUGUGAGUGACAGUCUGUGCGCGUGCUUGUGAGUGUGAGAGUGUGUGUCUGCGGGAUAUUACCCGAGUUUGCGUUUGGUAGUGCUCUCACAGCCCUUUAGAAACAAGCUCUUCCACCCGGGACAGCGUCGGAUCAAGUGGCAUUGAGAGGUGUGGAUGGUGGAGGAAGAAAACUGAACUCUUAAGUGUUCAUCUUAGAGGUUUUCCAACCGGGAAUGUGAUGCAGCCAUUAGGCACUUCUCUCCUCGCAGACACGUUGGGAUGCCUCUCCACACAGGGGUUCAUUCUAAGUGCAAACAUGUCCUAUCUGGAAGUGUUUAUCUAAUAAUGACCCCGUGACUGGCUGCACAUGUGAGCUUGUCCAGACUGAAACAACGUCCACCUUGAAUGUGAACAUCUGGGGAAUGAUGAGUGGUGAGGUGUGUCUCUGCUAUUAUGAUAUUAAGCACAAACUUCUUCACUCUCAGUGAUGCUAAACUUCAAUAACGUAAAGUGUCUUUCUCACAGUGUUUAACACCUUUACCUACCGAUACAUCCAUGCAUUUUAACAACCAACUGCUUACAUACCAAAUGACACUGUUUGUAGUACAUAUUUAAAGUAUCUUGGGUAAUGCAGCUUCACCUGAAAUGUUGCUUUCAUAACUUGAACAGUUAAGCUGCUUUUCUUUUCAUACUAGUUACAUUUCAUUUGUUUUCAUGGCUUAAGCUAUGAAUUGAUUAGCUGACAAUUCAGUUGUUUUCAGUUUUUAUUGCUUAGCUUUUAAUUGAAUGCAAACUAGCAGUGCAAACUUAAAUUUGAAACAUCUCACCAGAAGCUCAGUGACAACUCAAAUUAUUUUAAUCCUUGCCCUUAAUUUACAGUAUUUUUUUUUUCUUUAGUUACUAUCAUCCCGAGUGUCUGUAUUGGGCUGUCACAAUCUCUGGCCAUAACAAAAGCUUUGCACUCACACUGAAUGCAUGCUUAGUUUAGCAUAAACCCAUCAUCCCUAAGCUUUGACCAUCAGAACAAAUUCUUACUUGUCUCCUUUAAUAGAUGAAUUUUGGUACUGUCGUGGGUUCCUCAAAAAGCUCUCGUUCAAUAGAAACACUGUUGUAGUCAGAAAUUUACAUACCCUCAUCAUGGGCGUCAAUAUUUUUCUGUGUGACAACAAAGAUGUCUUAAAUAUCUGUGUUCACUGCCAUUUGGUCCAGUUUAUGGUCUCCAUUCAACCAUUCGUUUACGUGUUUUAGGCUUUAUAGUCUGCAUGUGAGCAUUUACAGGAGCAAAUGCAAACUGGUUCCCACAGAAUUUCUAAGGAGAGUACAUGGUCCCCCGCAUGGGAAUUGUUUUCUGUUUCAUUAUAAUGUGGAUUAAAGAGUUUAAAAGAAGUAAACACAGUGAAAUUAAGCUUAAACACAUUUAUUUUUCAAUUGGGUAAUCUGUAGCAGGGUUAGGUCAGCUGAUUUGUUUCCAGUAUUCAACAAUACUCUGUUCACAUUUCCCAUAUUUGAUGAAACAGUUUUUAAAAAUCUUUUUCUUUUAAAAUUAUUUUGUGCGCACUUGUUUAUACAGUACUGCGUCAUACUUUUCUCUAAGCAUCCUGUAAUCCUGCCAAGUAAAAUCUGAUUAUCCACCACAAAGACGAAGAAAACAAGAACAGUGCAUCAUUGCAGCAACCUGUAAAGUCUUGCCCAUCCUUGGCAGUGAAGACUCA
rnacentral:lncRNA from 1 species